CCUACGGGGGGCUGCAGUGGGGAAUAUUGGACAAUGGGCGAAAGCCUGAUCCAGCCAUGCCGCGUGUGUGAAGAAGGCCUUCGGGUUGUAAAGCACUUUCAGUGGGGAAGAAAGCCUUGGGGCUAAUACCCUCGAGGAAGGACAUCACCCACAGAAGAAGCACCGGCUAACUCCGUGCCAGCGGCCGCGGUAAUACGGAGGGUGCGAGCGUUAAUCGGAAUUACUGGGCGUAAAGCGCGCGUAGGCGGUCUGAUAAGCCGGUUGUGAAAGCCCCGGGCUCAACCUGGGAACGGCAUCCGGAACUGUCAGGCUAGAGUGCAGGAGAGGAAGGUAGAAUUCCCGGUGUAGCGGUGAAAUGCGUAGAGAUCGGGAGGAAUACCAGUGGCGAAGGCGGCCUUCUGGACUGACACUGACGCUGAGGUGCGAAAGCGUGGGUAGCAAACAGGAUUAGAUACCCCAGUAGUC
rnacentral:rRNA from 1 species